CAGCCAAUCCCGUCGCACGCGAGACGCCUGGCAAGCAAUCACCGCCGGGCUGCCCGGCGCUUGGUGAACGUGAUAGCUCGUUGGCAGGAGGUGGUCUGUCUGCGCUGUGGGACCGAGAGAAGCAUGCCGCUGUGUUGACACAGUUUCAAGCGAGCAGACCCUCGGCUCAAGCAGGGAGGGCCUUCCACAACACUGGUGCCACCUAUGAAAAAGCCCACCUUCGUGUUACUACAAGCUGAUAAUCAUCAGGCUGUGGCAAAACUAACUGGAUUCUAUUUACUGAUCUUAAUGCCCUUAUCGGGCAGUAGAGAGGAAGAUGGUUUUUCAGGCUGCUUUCCCAAAGGUACAGGACACCCUCUGUACCAUCUCACACCCUGUUCCAUGCAGGCCAGAAGGAAGAUCCAUCCCAUGGCUUGUAGGAGUGACCAGGAUGCUCCCAGCUGUUCCUCUGUGAGGUUGUUAAUCUACAUUUUCCAGGCAGAUGCCUUCAGGACAAGACAGUUGUGCAACAGGAUCUCAUCAGCCCUCCAUUCUGUUUAAUAAAGGUGAUGACAUUUCAGAAGGGGUGGGGAACCUCAGGUACAGGACCAAAUACGGCCCUCUGAACUCUCCCCACCAGGCCAUAUCCCUCACCGGCCCUGCUCUGCACUCCAAGAGUUUUUGCCAGGCUGGAAUGUGUCCUUGUUUGUCUGGACGGAGGACAGAGAGCAGCAUGUGUAGUAACUAGCUUACUGUAUAAAGCCUUUGGAAUGCAAGAUCCAUCAGAGUUUGAGAAGGUGACCCCCUUAAAAGGCGGCCAGUGUUGCAAAGAGCAGUUUCUGACAGAAGGAGAGAAUCUGGAGUUGGUCAUGGCUGGUAUGGCAUACAACUUAGCUCUGAGCUUUGCUGGUAAGAAUGACACUUCUCUUGAGUCUAGGAUUGACAAAAAGGCCAUUCUUGUUGGACAAACUGACAAGGAGCUUGGAAUGCUUAUUGGGGCUGCAAAGGAGCUGCUACUCAGAUCGUGUUUUGCACAACAUGUUUGCAGUGUUUUGGCUUCUUGGUUACUUGGGGGGUAUAAUUAGUCUUAAUGUGAAUUUCUCAAUUUUAAAACCCCUGCCAGGAACCAUUUGAUUCCCUGCUAAGCAUUACACUGCCUUUUGUUUUCUCUGUGUUAAUUCUUUGGGUGGCUAUAUUGCAACAAAUGUACUAUCAACUAAAAAAAAAAUAGACGUGUAUGUUA